rnacentral:rRNA from 1 species
AAGCGGAGGAAAAGAAACCAACAGGGAUUGCCCUAGUAACGGCGAGUGAAGCGGCAACAGCUCAAAUUUGAAAUCUGGCCUCGGCCCGAGUUGUAAUUUGCAGAGGAUGCUUCUGGCGCGGUGCCUUCCGAGUUCCCUGGAACGGGACGCCACAGAGGGUGAGAGCCCCGUAUGGUCGGACACCAAGCCUGUGUGAAGCUCCUUCGACGAGUCGAGUAGUUUGGGAAUGCUGCUCUAAAUGGGAGGUAAAUCUCUUCUAAAGCUAAAUACCGGCCAGAGACCGAUAGCGCACAAGUAGAGUGAUCGAAAGAUGAAAAGCACCUUGAAAAGGGGGUUAAAUAGUACGUGAAAUUGUUGAAAGGGAAGCACUUGUGACCAGACUUGGGCCGGGCGGCUCAUCAGGGGUUCUCCCCUGUGCACUCCGCCCGGCACAGGCCAGCAUCGGUUCUCGUGGGGGGAUAAGACCGUCAGGAACGUAGCACCCUCCGGGGUGUGUUAUAGCCUGGCGGACGAUACCCCCGUGGGGACCGAGGUUCGCGCUCCGCAAGGAUGCUGGCGUAAUGGUCACCAGUGACCCGUCUU